rnacentral:rRNA from 1 species
AGUCGAACGCAGUAGCAAUACUGAGUGGCAAACGGGUGAGUAUGAUGUGGGAAUCUGCCUUUUGGUUUGGAAUAACACGAGGAAACUUGUGCUAAUACCGGAUAAGCCUUCACAGGGAAAGUUUUAUACGCCGAAAGAUGAGCCCGCACUUGAUUAGCUAGUUGGUGAGGUAAAAGCUCACCAAGGCAACGAUCAAUAGCUGUUCUUAGAGGAAGACCAGCCACAUUGGGACUGAGACACGGCCCAGACUCCUACGGGAGGCAGCAGUAAGGAAUCUUGCACAAUGGGGGAAACCCUGAUGCAGCGAUGCCGCGUGAGUGAAGAAGGCCCUUGGGUUGUAAAACUCUUUCGUCGGGGAAGAAAAUGACUGUACCCGAAUAAGAAGGUCCGGCUAACUUCGUGCCAGCAGCCGCGGUAAUACGAAGGGACCUAGCGUAGUUCGGAAUUACUGGGCUUAAAGAGCUCGUAGGUGGUUAAAAAAGUUGAUGGUGAAAUCCCAAGGCUCAACCUUGGAACUGCCAUCAAAACUUUUUAGCUAGAGUGUGAUAGAGGAAAGUGGAAUUUCUAGUGUAGAGGUGAAAUUCGUAGAUAUUAGAAAGAACACCAAAUGCGAAGGCAACUUUCUGGGUCACUACUGACACUGAGGAGCGAAAGCAUGGGUAGCGAAGAGGAUUAGAUACCCUCGUAGUCCAUGCUGUAAACGAUGUGUGCUAGACGUUGGAAAUAUAUUUUUCAGUGUCGCAGCGAAAGCAUUAAGCACACCGCCUGGGGAGUACGACCGCAAGGUUAAAACUCAAAUGAAUGACGGGACCCGCACAA